rnacentral:rRNA from 1 species
UACGUAGGGUGCGAGCGUUGUCCGGAUUUAUUGGGCGUAAAGAGCUCGUAGGCGGUUUGUCGCGUCGGCCGUGAAAUCUCCACGCUUAACGUGGAGCGUGCGGUCGAUACGGGCAGACUUGAGUUCGGUAGGGGGAGACUGGAAUUCCUGGUGUAGCGGUGAAAUGCGCAGAUAUCAGGAGGAACACCGGUGGCGAAGGCGGGGUCUCUGGGCCGAUACUGACGCUGAGGAGCGAAAGCGUGGGGGAGCGAACAGG